rnacentral:lncRNA from 1 species
AUAUAUUAAACAUGCUCCUCAAUAUCAUUUUUAUCCGGACAAUAAUUCAAUAAUACCCUAUUUAUUUUGCAUGAAAGAAGUAAUAGGCCUGAAAUGCCCUAAUGAUAGAAGGCAAUAUUGGAUUAGAAGAUUUAAAAGACAAAUGAGAAGCAACAUGAUGUAGUUUUAGUUGAACUGAAGGAAACUCAUUCAGUAGAAUGUUUAGAAAAUAGAAGUA